AAUCAUAUCACCUGUAGUUGAAGGGUCGUCCUUCUUGUCACAAAUGAUACUUUACUUACACGGACUCAAUACUAACGAUAAUUUUUAUUGGCUGAAAUAAGAAAAUGAUGUCCAUGUGAUCGGAAAACGCAAAUACAUUAUACAGGUGAUGAUAUGUCAAGGAAACAGGAUAAAUAAGUAAACAUGUAUCGGUAAGACACGGUUUCUGGAUGAACUGGGGAUGAAAGCAGAUCUCAUGGUAACUUUCCGGUGAAUUUGAACAUACCUUAAACUUGUGUUUGCAGUAAAAAUUGCUGGAGUCCAUUUCAAGGUGGUUUUUCGAAUAAGUUUUUUUUUAUAUAGAAUAUAAUCCUCGUUGCGGAAAUAUACCGAUCUUUAAUAAACUAUGGGCGCGUUGAUGUUGGUUUAUAUUCUAAUGGGUGUAUUUGGUGUGGGUGUGAACAGCUACCCACAGGGAGCCCCCACACAGACAGAGGCAUGUGUGAAUCUUCAGCCCGUCCACCGUGAACGUCAAACACAACAGAGGAUCCCAAAUAGACAGGAGAAGGCCCCAUACAGUGUUUUGUUAUCUCAACAAUACUAUGUCGCGUGCGAGAACCCGUCAACGUGUCAGCAGAGACCCAUACAAGUUGUAAUCAGAGGACAGCCAAAUCAGCAGAUUCCAGGAGCAGGAGGACGAGGAACACCCUUUCGAGGAUUUAUAAUCCAGGCCAGGACGCCCUCUGGUGGCACCCGAGCAUGGGGGCGUUUUGUCCCCCAACAGGCGCGUAACUUUAAGACAAUCGCAUGCCAGAACGGACCAACACUGACACACACUAUAAACAGUGAUAAACAGGAAGUUAGGUUCAACUGGAUACCGGAACCUGGCAUGCGCGAACAAGUACAAUUUGUAUCCACUAUUGUGCAGAACCUUCGGACUAUCUAUCCCCUGGUAUACUCGAGUAUCAUCAAGCCCACCACACGGACUGGAGAUGACUUUUUCCCUACUACAACAACUAUCACUACCACUUUAACUUUUUCCACUCCAACUACCACUUCGGGUUUCAUUUCUAACUCCACUUUAACACCAAUCCUCACCACCUCGACAAUCACAUUGACUACUACAGAGGACGGUAAGUAGUUAUCAACGGACACAGUUUCACUAUUGUUCAUAUAUUUGCACAGAUAAUUUUCCUUUAUUUAUUGGAACUCUGACUUACAGGAUAUCAAAUUACGAGAAAUGUUUGAAUGCAGAAAAUUUUAUAUUUUUCAUAGCUUUAGAACGCGCAAGUACGAAAAUAUAACUACCUCCAAAGGAAGUGUUAAGAUAUAGGAACAGUCGUGGAACUUUGAUUGCUUGUGUAUUUCAACUUAUACAUAAUGUACCCCGCUCCCCCUACUCCCUCCAUCUUAUUUCGUUUUACACUUCAUUCUAUAAAGAGGAUAAUGUGUAGUCAGGAACCAUUAAUCACUUGUAUUUGCAUGUAUAAUACUUUGCAACUAACGCUAACUGGCCGACAUAACACGCCUGAUUUGAAUAAGAUGAUUAGCAAACUGUAAUAUGCUUAUGCUCAUGGCUGUUCGUUGCUACAUAUUAUCCCGCUUAUGUGUACUCUACUGACGUCAUAGAUACAAGCCCCGCCCCUUUCCUGAGCACAUUUGCCCCUGCGAGAUUCACCACUACAGGUAAGUAUACCUUAAUAACAUGCCGCCCCCAUUAGUAAAAUGAAAUAUCCUGAAUUAUUGUCUGUGCUGUAAAUGGCUCGUUUGUAUAUACAAAACGUAUGUUGCUAUUAAUGCUUUAAUAAUAAUUGCCUAAUUGCUUGUACGUUUACUAUUAUGUUUUUACUUUGAAGAGAAAAAUAAACAUUUUCGCAUUACUGCUCUAAUUAUCAAUCCAUGUUUCUGUGAUUACAUUAAUAUAAUAUAUACUAGUAUAUAGAUAUCAAUUGAUUUGCUAGUAAAAAAAAAAUGAAAAUGAUACAACUCUAUAAACUGUAACAGGAAAUGUACAGUCUAAUUGCUUUUAGCUCUUGAUGAAAUUUGAAAUUGAAUGACAAGCAGCAUAGGAAACAUGCUAUGUAUUAGUUAGAAGCGACAGAAGCACAUUAAAUUGUAUCCUGUUUUCACAGCUUUGUCGUUUUAGGGGAGGGCUGGGGAAAGUGAUAGCUGUCUGAUGAUAGUUCCGUAGAUCUUGAAGUAAUGUUCUUAAUGUCAAGAUAAGCUACGUCUUCUUAUUAUAAAGACAUUCAUUUCGAAAAAAAAAAAUUGAUAUCUUUAUUCGGAGAUAAAAUUGCUUAAUAUUUACCAAGAAGACAUGCCACUUUGAACUAUGAGAUUAAGUUUACUGCCGGUACAACGCGAGUGGAAAUGUUCUAGGUUGACAGCUCUCAAAGAAUGCUGAAUCUACACUUUAUCUCAGUGAGGUUGAUUCUGAAGCUACCGAUGAUCAAAAGACAUUUGAGAUCUUUGGGUUAACUUUGAGGAUUUUGGUGUGUAAUAUUUAAAUAAGCCUCGAGGUAAUUCAUCAAGAUCAACUACGUUCUACCAUGGACUUAAUCAAGUUAGAUAAGUUUUUCAGUGGUUUCAGUGACCGAAAUUUGCUAGGAAUAUGCCAGCAAGAUUAUAUUAAGCUUGGUCCUUUAUCUUUAUAUGAAAAAUGACUUGUUUUGCCGUACAUCCUAUAUCUUUGACACUAACUAGUACCGUAUAUAACCCUAACGGAACGUUAAGAAACAAUGGUUUAGAUAGGGUUGAAUUGUCAACAGUUUCCGAAACGUUUGUAAGAAUCGCAUGCAAACGUUUUUUUGUGGUAUUUUCUGGACUUCGUGCACACAUACACAUCAGCAAUUCGUGCGUACAUCUGGGGCAUCAGACACAAGCACGGAACUCAGUGUCUCGGCCCUCAAUUUGAAUAAAUAUAUCACUGACAGCUGGAUCUUGUGUUCGUUAGCCAAUAGAAGAUAGGGGAGGAGCCAAAAGUCAGGUGCCCGUCACCCAGGGUACUUACUGACCGACUGAUCAGAGUUUGCCAACCUUAACCUUUUCCGCUCGAAUUGUGGCGGCAGUUGUUUUACAGCAUCAUUUUUUCUUGUAUGUAACGUUUCGGAUUAGUCUUGUAUCGACCGUUAGUUUUAAUUAUGAGAUACGCGAUUCGAAAUCUUUAGCGUGCAUGUAUGCUUUUCUAUUGCCUUUCUUAAUAGUUAAAAUUCCUACAUCUCCGAUUACGAGCAAUUAUAACUGAAUGAAAACAGGAAAAGUAUAUUGUAUUUCAUACAGUACCAGCAGUUAAAUACUGUUUAAGAUUCAAAGUGUAGAAAUCAUUAAUAGUAUACCGAAGAAAGUCUAUCCUAGACUGGAUCUAUCUUCGACUCUUAGCGUUAGGUCUUUUUAUCAUCAUUCUUGGGUCGCUACUAGUGAUAAUUAGGUAUACAUGUAUUAAUUUACCGUAGGUGAGAUUUUAUACAUUUGUUUUUGUUUUACGCUGUAGGUGAUGUAGAAUCUUUAACUGACUUUAGUAUUUUUCCCUUUACAGCCUUAAUCAGCAGUGGUACAACGAAAAAGGCAGGGCUUACCAUGAUCCUAGCUUCUUUUGUAAUGACAUUGUUGUAAUGCUUACUGAUCGCUUAACAUCUUGCGAUCUUUCUGAAAUAGACUGUAUGCCUCCUACACUCACCUCAUUGUGUAUCAUUGGUGAUAUCUUGUUACCUAUUGUUAUAUACAGUAUUACAUAGUACAUGUAUUACAAGUUCUGAUAUUAUAUAAUUGAUGCAAGACCUUAUUAUUUUAUGCUGUAAUAAAUUAUUACAUAUAAUAAUGCAUUAAAUAUCAAACAAAAUUUGAUAUGGUGGUGUAAUAUUGAUAUGAUAUCUUAUUAGAAAGCUGUACCAUAUCAUUAUGCAUUUUCAUAUAUUUUGUUUACUUUCUGUUUAGUAUAAUACUAUUAAACAUCAUCAGCUGUAUUUGUCUUAAUGACAACAGUGCAAUUUUAAUGUUAAUGUUAAAGAGAUUUUUCCUUCAACAAUAUAACAUUUUGUAUCAUAUUUAUUCAAUAGUUAGUGCUGUAACAGUUAUUCUUGUAUCUGUGAACUGUGUGUUUUGUGUAUGCAUGCUUAUAUUUACAACAGAUUUAUCGAUUUAUGAAUACCUCGUUAAACCUCAUUCAACGUCUUUCAGCAAAGAUAGUUCAGCCAGUCACAAAUGUAAUUAGAUAAUAUGCUUAAUCUUUAUUUACGUCAAUUUGCUUUGUAAAUAUAUAUUUUUUUUAUACUUUUCGUAAUUCAAUUGAUGACUAAUUUUCGAAACAUUUACAGCGAAAAUGCCCCAGGACAUGUAUGCAUAUUGUCCCUGUUGUUGACAGAGCAACGAAUACUAUCAUGUGCCUUCUAUAUUAAAUUAUAGCAAGCACAACAUUUUGUAUCAUAUUGAGAUAUUAAGACAUAAUUUAUGUCUUGAAAAUAUAUUUCGAAAUGGUUAAUUGAUCAUUAAUAUAACCACCCAUACACUCUAAACUGUUAUUAAAGUGUAUGUUACUCUUUAAAUGACUGUUAAAAUAAUAUCACAGAGAGCAGACCGUUUCAUGUGUAUGACAGGGUUAUUUCCCCUUGUUAGGAGCAUUCUAAUACAAUGAUAAGAUAUUGUACAAUGAAACUUAAAUAAACAGCGGUAAAAAUAUACGCAAAUAUAUAUAACCAUAUAUUAUCAUUUCGCCUCUAUCUAUAUUUCGAUAUGAAAUCUUUAUAUUCGUUUAUAUUUCAACGUAUUUUACUAAUUUAGAAUUGUUUUAACAAUGAUCGCAUACAAUAUGAGAACAAAGUUAGGAGAUGAUAUUAUCGUAUUUUUUGGAUUAAAUCCUGCAGUUUGACAGAGGAAGACAUGAAGUGAAAAAGGAACAUUCUAUUCUCAGCAUUUUAGCGCUUAAAUUACUAGUUGAAACAUCCCACUUUGAUUUACUUCCGGUAGAACUGACGAAUUUGUAAAAUGCUUCCCAGUGGUCAUUUGAAUACCGUGAUGUAUGUAUAAGAUAUUUCAGUUAACUUGCCGAUCGAACACGUUUUAUCUAUUUAUCUGAAAUGAUUGAUUUCACAACUAUUUAGAAAUAAUAAAAUUUUAUUUUGAUUUAAUGUCAUAUUUCUACACGGGAGUAUAAUUUGGUGCUAAUCGGGCAAAGCUAAAUAGUUAAAGGUCACACUCGACCGUUAGGUCUUCAUAAACAAAGAUGCAAACGAACAUAGCGAUUACAAUCCAUUAAAAGAAGCAGGGUUUUCCAUUAAUUUUGAUGUAAUUUCUAUGCAAUCUAAAAUGAAACUAUAAAAACGUAAUUGUUCUUUGCAUUUCCUAGCUUUAUUUUUUAUUCAUUUUUCUUCAUUUUAUUUUGUCUCUUUAUUCUGGCAGCUAAUAUGCCAAAUAUCUAAACCAUGCAAGACUCUAUCUGUGUUUGUCCUGCUUGGAAGACAUUUUUUAAAAAUCACUUUUCUGUUGUAUAUUCAUGUACAUACAUAUGUAAUCGUUCCUACCUGUAAAUAAAUAUCUGUAUAUAUCACAAA